AGAAGAGAAAGGUGAAGAGGAGAGCGCCCUAAUGGAGAAGAGCUCCGUGCGGAUGGCAAAGUGUGGACCGCCGGCGCGGCGCGCGCAGCGCUUCCCGAAUACAAGAGGAGGCAAGUUAACUCCCUGGCCAUAGGAUGAGAGAGCAGUGCAGGCUAGAGAUGGCAAGGGAGAUGUCUGCAGUGCUGUCCUUCAUCACUAUGAACAACCAGUGCUACAGAGUUCAGACAGGUCAGACCGUCGGUCCGUGCCCUGUAAGAAAGGUGGUGAAUGGCCAAGGCCUUACCCGGAACUGUGAGCACGGGUAUGAGAAGAGGUGCACUUUGCCGAAGUCAUCGCCUGUGCACAAGAGCUUUCUCUCGUGAG
rnacentral:lncRNA from 1 species